ACAAGCAAUAGAUCAGGCAACACUGUGCAAGUUCUAAGGGAAAUAAACCUGAAAGAACCACUGUUCCUGAAUGGAAAGAGGACAGAGGGCAAAAGCUCAAGCCUUAUUCAGCUUCAGAAGUGAAAAGAAGUUCAACAGACUGAGUAAUGUGGGUCUACUUUCUGCAACUGAACAAUUUCAGCAACAGUACAACAAAGAAAUCUCAAAAGAUCUCAGUGAUGAGGUCAUCUUCCUCAAACAAAUAUAUUCCACGAACUUUAAAUUGGAUUGCAAGGCAAAAGAAUUGCUUCAAGAAACACUCAAACUUGGACUCUAGAGGGUGUUUCCUAAUAUCACAAUUGCACUGCAUAUUUUUGA